rnacentral:rRNA from 1 species
GAAAUUCAUUAAAGCGCGGGUAAACGGCGGGAGUAACUAUGACUCUCUUAAGGUAGCCAAAUGCCUCGUCAUCUAAUUAGUGACGCGCAUGAAUGGAUUAACGAAAUUCCCACUGUCCCUAUCUACUAUCUAGCGAAAUCACAGCCAAGGGAACGGGCUUGGAAAAUAACGGCAAGGAAAGAAGACCCUAUUGAGCUUUACUUUAGUCUGACUCUGUGAAGAGACAUGAGAGGUGUAGCAUAAGUGGGAGUUAGCUUGCUGACAAAAAUGAAAUACCACUACUCUCAUUGUUUCUUUACUUACUCGGUAAAACGAAGAGCGGACGUUUGUCCAUUCUUCUAGCGUUAACCGCAGUACAUGUGUACAGUGGGAUUCGCUCCGAGGACAGUGUCAGGUGGGAAGUUUGACUGGGGCGGUACAUCUGUCAAAUGGUAACGCAGGUGUCCUAAGGCGAGCUCAGCGAGGACAGAAACCUCGCGUAGAGCAAAAGGGCAAAUGCUUGCUUGAUCUUGAUUUUCAGUACGAAUAAAGACCGCGAAAGCGGGGCCCCUCGAUCCUUUUGUUUUUACGAGUUUUAAGCAAGAGGUGUCAGAAAAGUUACCAUAGGGAUAACUGACUUGUGGCAGCCAAGCGUUCAUAGCGACGUUGCUUUUUGACCCUUCGAUGUCGACUCUUCCUAUCAUUGCGAAGCAGAAUUCGCCAAGCGUUGGAUUGUUCACCCACUAAUAGGUAACGUGAGUUGGGUUUAGACCGUCGCGAGACAGGUUAGUUUUACCCUACCGUUUAAAUGUCGUUGUGAAGGUAAUCCUGCUUAGUACGAGAGGAACCGCAGGUUCGGACAAUUGGUUCACGUGCUUGGUCGAAAGGCCAGUGGUGCGAAGCUACCAUCCGAGGGAUUAAGACUGAACGCCUCUAAGUCUGAACCCCAUCCCGAUCUAACGACAUUGCCGCACGCAGGCGCUUGCUGGUAUGUCUAGGUUGGUGGAUGUGACUUUAUUGUCGCUAAGCCUGCUGAAGAUGCCGCAAAGUGGUUAACGUUAUGGUUACAUUAUAAACGUAACUGGGUUUCCGCCUCUUAUGAGGCAAGUGCUAAGUGCCAAUUCGUCUGUAGACGACUUAGGUAACAGCCGUGGUGUUGUACUUAGUAGAGCAGCCA